rnacentral:lncRNA from 1 species
UGGAGAAUCUUAUGUAGAAGACUUUAUCUAGAAAAACAUUGAUUCUGAUUGAAAGGGGUAACAAGGACUUGCCUAAUCCUAUGAGUUCAGAUUAAAAAAAUAUCAAAAUCAAAAAAGAAAAAGAAAAAGAAAAAGAAAAGGAGAGGCCAAAGCGAAAACCCACAAAGGGCGUUUUGUGACCAAAGGUGGAUUUGAGUUGAAAACCCG